ensembl:lncRNA
CGGGGCCGCGUUACCUGCCGCGCUCCCGCGGCGCGCAGCCUCUCGCCCCGCUGCCCGCGGCCCCCCGGGCUCCCAAGGACGGAACCGCGCUGUCACAUGCUGGCGCUUCCCCAGCACCCACCUGUAACGUCGCGGCACUCGGGUGAAAGGGUCGGAGGAGCCCUCUUUAUCUCAGCCCGGUCAUUCCUGUCGUAUUCUGCACUUUCAAGCACCUAUCUUACCUGACUGAAUCAUCUAAACAGACGGUAUGCCACAUUCAGGCUGCUUCAGUCCAUUAUCAGGUGAGUGAAUUUCUCAAAGUCAAACAGUAAAGAUUUUAUACUAGCGUGAAGAACAGAUUAUAUGAACUCCACUUCCUUUCUUCAGUUAGUGGGGGCACUAUUUAGCAAUGAGAUGAAGGACAGAACCCAAAGCAAACAAGAGAAGCAUGGACAAUGGUGGAGGUUCAACUUGGGGCGGAAGACGCAAUCUCCAACUGCUUUUCCCAGGAUCUCACGAAUCACUUCAGGAGGAUGAGAGAGGCCAGCACUGACUUGAUUACUGGGAAACUUAUCUUGUCUGAAGAACGUUUCCAAACACUCAGUCGACUUGAGGUUGUCAUGAUAAGACAAUCUUCACAUCAGGAGGCUUUUUCAGAGAGGAAGAAGAAGCUCAGAUACAAGCAGGGUCCAAGCCUCAGAUCCAACUGUCAAGGAAGCUGAUGAACAAAAGGUCUUAAACUGACAUUUAGCUAGCAGUUAGAUGCUUAGGCACCUCAGUAGCACAAUUCAAAGCCAAGAUUCAUCUGCCACCUCAACCUGGCAACACCUCAGUUCAUGUUUCCUCCAGAGAAGUCAACACCCUGCUUUUACCCUAGAGCCGGGGGUUGGAGUACACACACAGACUAUGCAUCUGCAUAGACAUCCUUCAUCUGGCUGAGCAAACUUGAAUUUACUUGUGCACCCUGCUGGCUGAAUGGCUGUAACUCCCAGGGUGUCCUGUGGAGCCACGAAGAUCACUUAGCCACAAGAUCUAACUUCAAGUUUCUCAGCUUGCAUAAAGUUGUUCUACUUUAACAGGAGAGAUACAGACAGCAUUGUCCAAAAUGUUCAACAUCCCAGCAGUCAGAGCAGCUGGCACUGCUCUCUUAUGGCAAACACAGGCUUCUUCCUACAUGCAGAGGGGUGACUUGAACAGAGGCCUCUUACACUAUGGGUCAAACAGGGACUGUUAGAUAAAAACAUGUCUGGGGAGAGCAGGAAGCAGGGUGAGAGGAGGAACUUCUGUUGAGUUUUGUCAAAAAAGGCAGAGAUCAUAACAUAAUACCAAACUAUCAAAGGAGAUUUCAGGGCUGUUUCAAGUGCCAGCUUGCUUUUCCCCACAGGCUGGGGUUAUAUAUAUGACUGGUUAAAACAAGGGCCUUAAGCUAGUCAACAUGAACAGAUCUUAGGUGCUUCCCUCCUUGUGUGUUGACCUCAGUGGAUCAUGUUCUGAGAAGUUCAGCAACAAUACCCAAAUCUUCUGUGGCUUUUGCCCUCAAAUAAGGGCAAGUGCUCCCCUAAAACUAAAACUGAUUAACCUCUGAGGCAUCUCAGAAAGC